UGGGGAAUCUUGCGCAAUGCGCGAAAGCGUGACGCAGCAACGCCGCGUGCGGGAAGACGGCCUCGGUUGUAAACCGCUUUCAGUUGGGACGAAGCCUUUGCGGUUAAUAGCCGUGGAAGGUGACGGUACCUUCAGAAGAAGCCACGGCUAACUACGUGCCAGCAGCCGCGGUAAUACGUAGGGCGCAAGCGUUGUCCGGAAUUAUUGGGCGUAAAGAGCUCGUAGGCGGUCUGUCGCGUCGGAUGUGAAAGCCCGGGGCUUAACCCCGGGUCUGCAUUCGAUACGGGCAGACUAGAGUGUGGUAGGGGAGAUCGGAAUUCCUGGUGUAGCGGUGAAAUGCGCAGAUAUCAGGAGGAACACCGGUGGCGAAGGCGGAUCUCUGGGCCAUUACUGACGCUGAGGAGCGAAAGCGUGGGGAGCGAACAGGAUUAGAUACC
rnacentral:rRNA from 1 species